rnacentral:rRNA from 1 species
UACGUAGGAUGCGAGCGUUAAUCGGAAUUACUGGGCGUAAAGCGUGCGCAGGCGGUUAUAUAAGACAGUUGUGAAAUCCCCGGGCUCAACCUGGGAAUUGCAUCUGUGACUGUAUAGCUAGAGUACGGUAGAGGGGGAUGGAAUUCCGCGUGUAGCAGUGAAAUGCGUAGAUAUGCGGAGGAACACCGAUGGCGAAGGCAAUCCCCUGGACCUGUACUGACGCUCAUGCACGAAAGCGUGGGGAGCAAACAGG